GGGCUGCAUUGGAGUAUCUCAUCUGAAACUUCAUGUAGGGUUAGGAAUUAGGUUACUCAAAACCUACUUGCCUAUUGACCAAAAAAAAAACCUACCUGCUUCUUCCCGUGGUUUCCGGCCGCUGCCGUCGCCACUGAACCUAUUGCUCCUUUUUCCGUCAGUCACAGAGGUAGGAGCUAACCCCUCUCACCGGCCAGCUGUUCCAGCGUUUAUGCAUCGAUGCCUGAUCCCUAAGGACCUACUGUUUCACCAAACCAUGGCUUUCUCCCUUGUACGAACGCUCGACCCUAUCCUGCCUCUACCGUGUAGGCUCUGCAACAUCCCUCUACUCCUUCCCUGAGCGGUCAUGCCUUCUUUCCUAUAGCUGUGUAGGUCAUGCUUCGUAGGUACCUUGAAGCUCCCAAAACCAAUUGGUUUUCCUGCUUUACAGGGUAAAAUAUAAGGCAGAGUAAUAUUGGCUGAAAUGGCUGGACUCACUAACUCGAUUAGGAGCUUUUGUUCUGUGUGAGACACAUGAAAGGCAGCUCCAUCAUUUCCGAGUUCAUUUCCUCACCUAUUUUCUGGCAAAGAAAAACUCCAUUGUUUGAUUCCUUGUGCAAUUGAUCAGCAAGUUGACUCAUCUAUUUUUAGGAACUUCUCCGCUAAUUUUUUGCGAGCAAGUUCUUAUUACUACUAUAUAAGAGUGAUUUCAAGCAAAGAGUUGUUUUUGGCUUCAACGAAGGAUGAAAGUUGUUGAGAUGGGCAAAUUUUCUCAAGGCCUGGUGCUGAAGAGAAUAGAAGCUUUUCCCUUCACUACAUGGUUUGGUCACAGUUAGACAAAGGUCACAAGGUUCAUUGGUCUAAGUCAUGUUAUGAUCAUGGAGGUUCAUGUGUUUUAUGUUCAGGAUAAAGACUCUAAAGAAUAAUGGAAUUCGCAAACAGGUUGCGACUAUGUGCAAGGAGAGGCUGCAUGAGAUUGCGAAGGAGGUUAACUUUGUGCCAGAGAAUGUGGAGUGGAAGAACACGUUGAAGCAAAGGUUCAUUUGCAGGGACGAUGAGGUUCAGGGAUGGAAGAGUUAUAUCAACGAAACCACCUGCAGAUGCGAGCUCUGGACCCCUCAGCGCAACUGUUGUAUUAUCAUUCCUAUUGUCCUUUUGAGAAUAUAUGAGAUGGAUGAGAUUCUCAAAUUGAGCAAGUUAGGGUUUAUCCCCUAUUUCCUUUGUUGAAUUCCAAAAAAUACGUUCCUUAGUGAGGUGAGGUAUUAGUCCCUUUGGAAGCAUGAUUUGGUUGCCUUCGACGCCUCCUUUUUAAGAGCAGAAAGGUUUAUGCUGGCUUGGGCCCUACUUCAAGGCACCUCCAUAGAUCUUUAGUUCAUUUACUGUUUUGUUUCUCCUCUAUUUACUCUUGACAAACUCAAAUAAUUUACUAUUCCCCUGAACAUAUUAACUCAAUAUGAAGUUUUUGUCGAGAAAUUUAACCAUUCAAGUGCAUGUUUUUCCACUUAUCAUUUUUUAUUUGUUUAUUGAUUGAAGUUGUGUCUUUUGAUAAAAACUAAUAUGAUUGGGAUGAUUUUUAUCUUUGGUAAUGCUUUUUCUCUUUUUGUUGGGGUACUUCAUGUUGGUGGUUUGAUUAGAUGGAGGAUAAGUAUGUUGCGAGGAGAUAGUGAAAAAAGUAGAGCUAUUUUGCUGUCUUUCCUUGCUUUCCUCUAGGUUCUUUUGGUUAUCUUGUGUAAGACCCUACUUUGAUGUAUGAAAUUAUUUGUUUUUGAAUAAAUAAUAUAGUGUGACUUGCUUAUGAUUUGUGAAUUUUCUUGAUGCUUUGUAGUGUGAAGUAUUAUUAACAUGGAAGUGAUAAUACUUGAGGGCUAGGAUAUAAUUAUUUAUAAAGUCAAGGACUCAAGGAUGAGUGAAUUUGAGUUGCUUGGAGGCCAAGAAAGAAGGUUAUGGCCGAGUAUGUGAAGGGAGAUGGAGUGGAGAGUGAUUGUUUGACUAAUUAGCAUGAGUUUAGGGAAAAUGAUAAUGGUUUAUGGCUCAUGAUCAAGACUGAUCAGUUUUUGGACAAGGGAUUAAAGGGAAAUGAAGUGUCAUAAAUUCCUUGUCUCAAUUCAAAAAUUGUAAAUUCUAAAUACCCUUGCUUGUGCAUGUGUUGGCCAUGGAUUUGAGGGGCAAAAGGGGGAUGUUGCUUCAGUUUUGUGAACCCUAAAGAGGCUAAGAAAGAAACCUGAAUCCACAACCUCAUUCCACACUCACUCAAUCAGAAAAAAAGAAAGAAACAAGAGAGAAAGGGAGAGAGAGGGCGGCGGCUAGAGAGGAAGAAAAGAGAAGAGAAAAUAGUGAAAGCAAGAGAGGGCAAGAGAGAAAGGAAGAGACCAGGACAAGGCUGAGGUUGCAGCAGGGAUAAAGCUUUCCAUUCAUCUUUUCCAGAACCAUUUCUUCAUCCUUCCAAACCCAACAACCAAGAUGGUGAAGGUCAAGAGCGCAGUGACCUCGUGGACGAUCGACUUGCAUGAUCAGCACAAGGACAAUGCCUGGCAGACCGACUCUGCCCAGGUGCGUCGCCUCUAUGUCGGCAGUGCUACAAUCACAGGACGAGACCGGCACGGGAACGUCGUUGAGACAUAGCGAAUGGAAUGGGGCAAGGUCAAGAUGCCUUUUGCACCAUGCCGCUUCCUGCACCCAGGAGAUGAGGGUUCUUGCUUGAACUCUCCACAGCGGGCUGCUGCAGAGGAGGGUCCUUCACGCGCGCUCGAGGCACCAGACUGGUGGGCACGUAUUGGCGACCUUCCAGUCCCGCCUCUAGAGUCCCUUCCAGAUGCUGCUGUCACCCUGCCCAUUGCUGUAGCUGUUGAACCAGUGAAGAAGCGUCAGAGACAGUGUGGUUGGCUCGAUGAGUGACUGAUGUUGCCGUGUUGGGGGUCGAGUGUUUCGUAGUGCUGAACUAUCAUUUAUCAGUUUUAUUUUUCAGAGUUUUGAUGUACUUUUGAUGUAGGGCUCCAGCCCAUGGUUUCAAAUUAUGCACUUUGAAUUAUGGUUUCUUUAAUUAAGAGUUAUUUUAUUUAAAAA